rnacentral:ncRNA from 2 species
GCAAAAAAGACGAAUAUGGCUCAUAUAGUCCCGCAGCAACGGUGCGGGACGUUUCUACGGCGCCGCCGACGGCGCCACUAUGGGUGUUCUGACAGUGUGC